GACGGAGGGUGCUAGCGUUGUUCGGAAUUACUGGGCGUAAAGGGCGCGUAGGCGGCCUGUUAAGUCGGUUGUGAAAGCCCGGGGCUCAACCCCGGAACGGCAGCCGAGACUGGCGGGCUCGAGACCGGGAGAGGUGGGUGGAAUACCCAGUGUAGAGGUGAAAUUCGUAGAUAUUGGGUGGAACACCGGUGGCGAAAGCGGCUCACUGGCCCGGUUCUGACGCUGAGGCGCGAAAGCGUGGGGAGCAAACAGG
rnacentral:rRNA from 2 species